rnacentral:rRNA from 1 species
AGGCAGCAGUGGGGAAUCUUGCGCAAUGGGCGAAAGCCUGACGCAGCCAUGCCGCGUGUAUGAUGAAGGUCUUAGGAUUGUAAAAUACUUUCACCGGUGAAGAUAAUGACUGUAGCCGGAGAAGAAGCCCCGGCUAACUUCGUGCCAGCAGCCGCGGUAAUACGAAGGGGGCUAGCGUUGCUCGGAAUUACUGGGCGUAAAGGGAGCGUAGGCGGACAUUUAAGUCAGAGGUGAAAUCCCGGAGCUUAACUUCGGAACUGCCUUUGAUACUGGAUGUCUUGAGUGUGAGAGAGGUAUGUGGAACUCCGAGUGUAGAGGUGAAAUUCGUAGAUAUUCGGAAGAACACCAGUGGCGAAGGCGACAUACUGGCUCAUUACUGACGCUGAGGCUCGAAAGCGUGGGGAGCAAACAGGAUUAGAUACCCUGGUAGUCCACGCCGUAAACGAUGAUUGCUAGUUGUCGGGAAGCUUGCUUCUCGGUGACGCAGCUAACGCAUUAAGCAAUCCGCCUGGGGAGUACGGUCGCAAGAUUAAAACUCAAA